rnacentral:sRNA from 2 species
UCAUGCGGACCGCCUAGCCCUGUCACCGCGUGGAGCCUGGACAACCCGAGACAGGGGCGGGGGAACCACACAUUGGCUGGAAGCACAGCCUUGGGGUGAAGUGUGAAAGCUGUACACAACAGCUGGAGCGCCGAGUGACUCCAACUCGAACCCGACAGCUUACCUCGCUGGCAUAACUGGAGAGACGA